GACGAACGCUGGCGGCGUGCUUAACACAUGCAAGUCGUACGGUAAGGCCCUUUCGGGGGUACGCGGGUGGCGAACGGGGUGGUAACACGUGAGUAACCUGCCCACAACUUUGGGAUAACGCUAGGAAACUGGUGCUAAUACUGGAUAUGUGCUCCUGCUGCAUGGUGGGGGUUGGAAAGCUCCGGCGGUUGUGGAUGGACUCGCGGCCUCUCAGCUUGUUGGUGGGGUAGUGGCCUACCAAGGCGGCGCCGGGGAGCCGGCCUGGGAGGGUGACCGGCCACAGUGGGACUGAGAUACGGACCAGACCCAGACGGGAGGGAGAAGUGGGGAAGAUUGAACAAAGGGAGCAAGCCUGAUGCAGCACCGCCGCGGGCGGGAGGACGGUCUUGGGGUUGGAAACCGCUUUCAGCAGGGACGAAGAAUUUUGUGACGGUACCAGCAGAAGAAGCACCGGCUAACUACGUG
rnacentral:rRNA from 1 species